rnacentral:rRNA from 1 species
UCAAAUUGAUCCUGUUUGUGAGAUAUGUUUAUUUCGAAGCCUAAACCAUGCAAGUCAAGUUUAACUGAGAUUAAAAUAGGAAAACGGCGAAUGGCUCCUUAAAUCAGUUUUAAAGUGCAGAGGGAAGAAGGGGUUUAUCCUUUGAAAAUUUUGUUUAUUUUGGAUAACCUUGGUAAUUCUAUGGCUAAUACAUGAGAGAAAAGUGGUGAUGAGUGAAAUUGUCAUCUGAAAGAAAUUACUUUUUACUGCAUAUAUUGGAUUUAAUUAUCGUCACAUCGUGAAUUGAGAAUAUAGAAUUUGUUUGUUGAGAAUGGCUUUAUUGUCAUUUAAGCCUCUUUUUGAAACUGAUCUAUCAGAUUUCGUAGGUAAAGUAUUGGUUUACCUAGUCGGUGACGGAUACGAGGAAUUAGAGUUUGAUUUCGGAGAAGACGCAUUAGAAUCGGCGACUAUUCCCAAGGGAGGCAGCAGGUGCGAAAAUUGUACUAUUGACGAAAGUCAGAGACAGUGAAAAGAAAUAAGAAUGUUUAUUACAAUUUAUUUUGUUGAACAAUUCAAAUGAGUUGAAAUUGAAAAUUUUAAUAAGUAACAAAUGGAGGGCAAGUCUGGUGCCAGCAGCCGCGGUAAUUCCAGCUCCAUGAAUUUUUUUCAAAGUUGUUGUAGUUAAAGAGCUCGUAGUCUAAAUUAGAAACAAUUUAAAAAUGAUUUAAAACCAUUUUUAUUGUUUUUUUAAAGAAAAUCUAAAAUUUUUUGGAUUUUCAUUUUACUUUGAACAAAUUUGAGUGUUUCAAACAGUUGAACAUUGAUUUUAUUAAUGUUGUUAUAUGUUGAAAAAUUUUGCAUGGGAUAAUUGAAAAAGAUUGGAAGGCCUUUAGCAUUUUUUAUGGUGUUGGAGGUAUUUUUUCGAUAAUGAUUAAUAGGGAUAGUUGAGGAUAUAUAUACUGAGUAGUUAGAGGUGAAAUUCAAUUAUCUACUCAAGAUAAACAUAAGCGAAAGCGUGUAUCAAAGAUGUUUUCAUUGAUCAAGAGCGUCAGAAUGGGGAUCGAAGAUGAUUAGAGACCGUUGUAGUCCAUUCCGUAAACUAUAAAAGGAAAAGAAUAGAGGAAAUUUGGUGAAUUUCAAGAAUCAGUUUAGCUUUUGCUAUUAAUUGAUUCUUUCUAUGCCAUCUUUAUUAUUUUGUGAGAAAUUAGAACCUUUUGUUUUCUAGGGGGAGUAUGUUCGCAAGGAUGGAACUUAAAGGAAUUGACGGAAGGCCACCACAAAAUGUGGAUGCUGCGGCUUAAUUUGACCCAACCCGAGAAAGCUUACAUGGAUAAGAUAUGUGAAUGAUUGACAGGUUAAAGUCCUUUCAAGAUUGUAUAGAAAGUGGUGCAUGGCCGCUCUUAGUUGGUGAUUAUGAAUUGUCUGGUUAAUUCCGAUAACGAACGAGAUCAAAAAAUG